AUUGAACGCUGGCGGCAUGCUUUACACAUGCAAGUCGAACGGUAACAGGCCGCAAGGUGCUGACGAGUGGCGAACGGGUGAGUAAUGCAUCGGAACGUGCCCAGUCGUGGGGGAUAACGCAGCGAAAGCUGUGCUAAUACCGCAUACGAUCUAUGGAUGAAAGCGGGGGACCGUAAGGCCUCGCGCGAUUGGAGCGGCCGAUGUCAGAUUAGGUAGUUGGGGGGGUAAAGGCCUACCAAGCCGACGAUCUGUAGCUGGUCUGAGAGGACGACCAGCCACACUGGGACUGAGACACGGCCCAGACUCCUCCGGGAGGCAGCAGUGGGGAAUUUUGGACAAUGGGCGCAAGCCUGAUCCAGCAAUGCCGCGUGCAGGAAGAAGGCCUUCGGGUUGUAAACUGCUUUUGUACGGAACGAAACGGUCUGGGUUAAUACCCUGGGCUAAUGACGGUACCGUAAGAAUAAGCACCGGCUAACUACGUGCCAGCAGCCGCCGUAAAAC
rnacentral:rRNA from 1 species